AUAUUAUCAACAUACAUUUACCUUACCAUCAUAGUGUCAUUACUAUAAUAUUAGAAUACUGUCACCAUAUUAUCACCAUGCAAUCAGCAAAUUAUCACCAUUCAAUCACCAAAUCAUUACUAUACUAUUACAAUACAGUCAGCAGUUAUGGAAUUACUGAGUCAAAGCCCAGAUUGCAAUCCUAUCAGAACACUGUGGUGGAACUUGAAGCUGGCCGUACAUCCAAGAAAACCCUCAAACAUGACAUAGUUCAAGCAGUAAUAUAAAGAUUUGGGGUCACUUAGAAAUGUCCUUGUUUUAAAAAAACUAAAAUAAAUUGUCCAUUAAAAUAACAUCAAAUUGAAUAGGGCCUUUUUCUGGACCAGGGUGUGUUAGGGUGUAUUCUGGACAACGUCGUGCUGGUCCAGAAUAAGGCCCUAACACACCCUGGUAACUGAACGUCAUGCUGGUCCAGAAUAAGGCCCUAACAAACCCUGGUAACUGAACGCCAUACUGGUCCAGAAUAAGGCCCUAACACACCCUGGUAACUGAACGUCAUGCUGGUCCAGAAUAAGGCCCUAACACACCCUGGUAACUGAACGUCAUGCUGGUCCAGAAUAAGGCCCUUAACACACCCAGGUAACUGAACGUCAUGCUGGUCCAGAAUAAGACCCUAACACACCCUGGUAACUGAACGUCAUGCUGGUCCAGAAUAAGGCCCUUAACACACCCUGGUAACUGAACGUCAUACUGGUCCAGAAUAAGGCCCUUAACACACCCUGGUAACUGAACGUCAUGCUGGUCCAGAAUAAGGCCCUAACACACCCUGGUAACUGAACGUCAUGCUGGUCCAGAAUAAGGCCCUAACACACCCUGGUAACUGAACGUCAUGCUGGUCCAGAAUAAGGCCCUAACACUCUCUGCUUGCAUCCUAAAUACAGAAUGUUUCUAGUUUCACAUUUCAGUCACCUCAAAAUGUCUGCUUCUUGAAUGUGAAACUAAUAAAGGAACACUUAUAAACCAGAAAGAGGAGGUUACAUCACCCUGCGCACACACACACACACACACACACACACACAUAAACACUCAAACACACACUUGUUUUUGUCAUUCCUGCUCCCAAGUGCAAGAAUCCCCUUAUUCACCCCUCUAGUUCAUAAUAAAUUUGCUCAAUGGAGAGAACUGGGGAUCCAUACUGUAGGGGAUCUAUGGCUUGACAUUUUUUUUUGUGGGAUCACAAUUGAUUUCCUUUAACCCUAACAUCACCCUUACUUUAACCACUAAAACCCAAUUAGACUAUAACCCAACCCUACAUCAAGCCUAAAAUAAUCCAUUCACAUAGAAUGAAGCCCCGGUUCAGUCAUGUAGGAUGAAGCCCCGGUUCAAUCAUGUAGGAUGAAGCCCCGGUUCAGUCAUGUAGGAUGAAGCCCAGAUUCAAUCAUGUAGGAUGAAGCCCCGAUUCAAUCAUGUAGGAUGAAGCCCCGAUUCAAUCAUGUAGGAUGAAGCCCCGAUUCAAUCAUGUAGGAUGAAGCCCCGGUUCAAUCAUGUAGGAUGAAGCCCCGAUUCAAUCAUGUAGGAUGAAGCCCUGAUUCAAUCAUGUAGGAUGAAGCCCCGAUUCAAUCAUGUAGGAUGAAGCCCCGAUUCAAUCAUGUAGGAUGAAGCCCCGGUUCAAUCAUGUAGGAUGAAGCCCCGGGUCCAGUCAUGUAGGAUGAAGCCCCGAUUCAAUCAUGUAGGAUGAAGCCCCGAUUCAAUCAUGUAGGAUGAAGCCCCGGGUCCAGUCAUGUAGGAUGAAGCCCCGGGUCCAGUCAUGUAGGAUGAAGCCCCGGGUCCAGUCAUGUAGGGUGAAGCCCCGGGUCCGGUCAUGUAGGAUGAAGCACCGGGUCCAGUGAUGUAGGAUGAAGCCCCGGUACAGACAUGUAGGAUGAAGCCCUGGGUCCAGUCAUGAAGGAUGAAGCCCCGGUACAGACAUGUAGGAUGAAGCCCCG
ensembl:lncRNA